GGCCAGUUAACUCAGUUGAUUAGAGCAUGGUGCUGAUAACACCAAGGCCGCGGGUUCAAUCCCUGCUCAAUCCC
rnacentral:tRNA from 1 species